AGGGCAGACGGUGGAUGCCUUGGCUCUCGGAGGCGAAGAAGGACGUGAUAAGCUGCGAAAAGCCCGGGGUAGAUGCAAAUAAUCCUUGAUCCCGGGAUAUCCGAAUGGGGCAACCCGGCAGGUUGAAGGCCUGUCACCUUGAAAGAAGGGGCAAACGCGGGGAACUGAAACAUCUAAGUACCCGUAGGAGAAGAAAACAAAAGUGAUUCCGUAAGUAGUGGCGAGCGAACACGGAACAGCCCAAACCGGUGUUGUUUAGGCAAUACCGGGGUAGUAGGACCACGUUGUGGCAAGCAAACAGGGAAGUGGAACCAACUGGAAAGUUGGGCCGGAGACGGUGAAAGCCCGGUACACGACUCCCUGUGGAAGCCUAGUGGUAUCCUGAGUAACGCGGAGCACGAGGAAUUCUGCGCGAACCAGCGGGACCCAUCCCGUAAGGCUAAAUACUCCCGAGAGACCGAUAGCGAACCAGUACUGUGAAGGAAAGGUGAAAAGAACCCCGAACAGGGGAGUGAAAUAGACCCUGAACCCGUCUGCCUACAAGCGGUCGGAGCAGCUUAAAGCUGUGACGGCGUGCCUUUUGCAUAAUGAACCUACGAGUUACUUUCAGUGGCAAGGUUAAGUACUUCAGGUACGGAUCCGAAGCGAAAGCGAGUCUGAAAAGGGCGUCAAGUCACUGUGAGUAGACGCGAAACCAAGUGAUCUACCCUUGUCCAGGAUGAAGGUUGGGUAACACCACCUGGAGGUCCGAAUGGUUAUACGUUGAAAAGUGUUCCAAUGAGAUGAGGGUAGGGGUGAAAGGCUAAUCAAACUUGGAGAUAGCUCGUACUCCCCGAAAUGCAUUUAGGUGCAGCCUGUGUGAAGUAUAAUAUGAGGUAGAGCGACUGAUUGGAUGCGAGGGCUUCACCGCCUAUCAAGUCCAGACAAACUCCGAAUGCGUAUUAUAUGAUUCCACGGAGUGAGGGCAUGGGUGCUAAGGUCCAUGUCCGAGAGGAGAAGAAUCCAGACCACCUGCUAAGGUCCCGAAAUAAUGCUUAAGUUGAGAAAACGAAGUCAGAUUGCAAAGACAGCUAGGAUGUUGGCUUGGAAGCAGCCAUUCAUUUAAAGAGUGCGUAACAGCUCACUAGUCGAGGAAUUUGGCAUGGAUAAUAAUCGGGCAUAAAGCAUUUACCGAAGCAGUGGAAUCAGCAAUGAUUGGUAGGGGAGCAUUCCGGCGGCGUCGAAGAUGGAGGAUGACCUCUGUUGGAGCUUCCGGAAAAGCAAAUGUAGGUAUAAGUAACGAUAAAGGAGGUGGGAAACCUCCUCGCCGAAAGACUAAGGUUUCCUGAUCAACGUUAAUCGGAUCAGGGUAAGUCGGGACCUAAGGAUAAGCCGAACGGCGAGGCCGAUGGAAGAAACGGUUAAUAUUCCGUUACUACUUUAAUGAGUGACGUGGAGACGGAGAAGUGACAGUCCUGCCGGCUGACGGAAUAGCCGGUUGAAGGGUGUAGGAGUAGAUCCUUGCAGGCAAAUCCACAAGGAGAUCCGAACCUGAGAGUAUGGAGCGCACCCCGGUGCAAUCCAAAAUGGGCGUAAUCAGGCUCCCGAGAAAAUCCGCUAAACCUAAUCAUUGAAGUACCCGUACCACAAACGGACACACGUAGUUGGGUUGAAAAUACUGAGGCGCUCGAGUGAGUCACGGUUAAGGAACUAGGCAAAAUGGUCCUGUAACUUCGGGAUAAAGGACGCCAAUCGUAAGAUUGGCCGCAGAGAAUAGGCCCAGGCGACUGUUUAACAAAAACACAUGGCUGUGCGAAAUAGUUAACAUGAAGUAUACAGCCUGACACCUGCCCGGUGCUGGAAGGUUAAGAGGAGGACUCAGCGCAAGCGAAGGUCUGAAUUGAAGCCCCAGUAAACGGCGGCCGUAACUAUAACGGUCCUAAGGUAGCGAAAUUCCUUGUCGGGUAAGUUCCGACCUGCACGAAUGGUGUAACGAUCUGGGCACUGUCUCAACCGUGAGCUCGGUGAAAUUGUAGUAUCGGUGAAGAUGCCGAUUACCCGCGAUGGGACGAAAAGACCCCGUGAACCUUUACUAUAGCUUUACAUUGAAUUUGGGCAAUUGAUGUGUAGGAUAGGCCGGAGGCAGAGAAGCCGGUACGCCAGUAUUGGUGGAGCCGCCGUUGAAAUACGGCCCUUUGAUUGUUUGAGUUCUAACUUGCGUGAUGCGAGGACACUGUAUGGUGGGUAGUUUGACUGGGGUGGUCGCCUCCAAAAGCGUAACGGAGGCUUCUAAAGGUACCCUCAGACCGAUUGGUAACCGGUCGCAGAGUGUAAUGGCAUAAGGGUGCUUGACUGGGAGACAGACAAGUCGAUCAGGUAGGAAACUAGAGCAUAGUGAUCCGGUGGUUCCG
rnacentral:rRNA from 1 species